AGGCUUCCUCUCCUGCAGAGGCGCCGGCGGCUCGUCCUCCCUGUCCACAGCCUGGUGUGCCUCGCCGCCUUCGGCCUCGCUCUGCCUCUCGCCAUCAGCCUCUUCCCACAGAUGUCCCAGAUCAGCGUCAAUCAGCUAGAGCCAGAGAUCGCCAUGGCAACAGAUUGUAAGAUUGUGACAUACAAUAAAGGCCUGUGAGUGAUCUGCUCUGCCAAACAUCUAAAUAUAGGAGUAAAGUAAGAAGAUCGAAUUAUGCUAAAAACUUGGCUGCGUUAUCCUGUGAAAAGUAAGCAUAUGUUUACAGAAAGAAUACACGUUGUUUUUGCCAAGACAAUAUAUAAUAAAUAACACAUAUCGACACCUUUUAGGAAUUACUAUCCCUGUUAAAACAUGCACACCAACCAACAAAAUAACAUCAUGUGACUGAGCCACAAAACAUAUUUAUGGAGUAACUCGAAUAGCAACUAUCAAAAACUAUUUUCUAUUAGCUUGCCUGGUUUCUUCUUACCUGUAAAAGACAAUACAUUUUGAGGUUAACUUAAAAAAAACGUAGUAGAAUUAUUAGUGGAUUAGAUAGUGAUGGACCAAAUACUCAAAGUAAAGUAGUGAAAAACGUUCCUGCAUGAUGAGAAUCUGAAUCAUCAUAUUGUCAAGUCUCUCUGAAGUACAGGAGUAAAGUACCUCCAAAUUGUAAAUCAUUUGAGUCUUGAGUCAUUUGACUCCAGUCCGAGCCGACCGUGUGUUCUGGAUUGUAAAUGUAAAUACUGUAAAUGAAAUCAGGAAAAAUGACUGAAAUGCAUUUCCUUUGAAAUAGUUUUUUGUUCUUGUUUAUAAUGAAACGACCGACCUUCUCUUGCUUUUUAUAUAAAGCUAACGCCAGUCUUACGACCUGGUGUCAGAGGUUGCAUGUCUAGAGGGACAAAUCAAAAAAUAUGGCACAAGAAAAAAGCUAAUUGUAAAGUCCAAAAUAUGAACUUCAUUUUGUUUUUUUCUGAUUUCUUUACCUGGGCAAUCAUUUUGCAACCCAGCACAUUCUUCUCGCGACCCCUUGUAGGGGUGCUGACCCCUAUGUUGCGAAACUCCUAUUUAAUGGUUUCAGCCAACUGGAAAGGUUGCUCUGCCUGGUUUUGGUAUAGUGCGUCUAUCUAAAAACCUUUCUUGUAAACUCGAACUGUGAACUGCAAUACGUUUUAAAACAAAUGUAUAUCUCAUGGAAAUCAUCCAAUGACAAUGUGAUUUUUGUUCACCACAAAAGCCUGUAUUGAAAACAUUGUAAUGUAGUUAAAUGAUGAAUGUAGUUUUUGUAAUAAAACAAGUUAAUACUUUA